rnacentral:tRNA from 2 species
UCCUGGUUAGCUCAGUUGGUAGAGCGCUCCACUGGAAAUGAGGUCCCUGGUUCCAUACCAGGUUUAGGUG